UUUUUUUUUCAAAACGCGUGGGCUUCGCCUAGCGAGCAUGACAGCUCAUGAACAAACCUUUGCUCCUUCAAGAUUAACGUUUUGACUGACGAAUAGACCCCUGUUGGAAGUAACUCAAGUCUUUCCCUUGUGUUGAAUGAUCAUCUAAAUAGAGCCCACAAAGUGUCCUGGAUGAUGUUCAAGCUUCUUGGAUCCGAUUUCGAUUGCCAUGAUGAAAUGCAAAUGCUAAAUGACCUAAAAA
rnacentral:lncRNA from 1 species